AGAGGACCUGACCCACUGGUGUCUGGACAACAACCUACUCAUGAAUGUCGCCAAGACUAAAGAGAUGAUAGUGGACUUUGGGAAGAAGCAGGGAAGGAUCUACGCCCCCCCUUAAUAUCAACGGAGUCUAUAUAUUUA